UCAGGUGUGUUGCAGCAGGGAGACAUCUAAGACCUGCAGGAUAGUGGGGCUUGAGGACCAGGGUUGGGGACCUCUGAUAUAGACUAUCUAAUGUGACCAAAUCAAUUGAUAUUGAUCCUUGGGGUGUUCAAAGUGGUUC